rnacentral:rRNA from 1 species
AGAGUUUGAUCCUGGCUCAGAUUGAACGCUGGCGGUAUGCUUAACACAUGCAAGUCGAACGGUAACAGCGGAGCUUGCUCCGGCUGACGAGUGGCGGACGGGUGAGUAACGCGUAGGAAUCUGCCUGAUAGUGGGGGACAACCUGGUGAAAACCAGGCUAAUACCGCAUACGCCCUACGGGGGAAAGCGGGGGAUCUUCGGACCUCGCGCUAUCAGAUGAGCCUGCGUCGGAUUAGCUAGUUGGUAAGGUAAUGGCUUACCAAGGCGACGAUCCGUAGCUGGUUUGAGAGAACGACCAGCCACAUUGGGACUGAGACACGGCCCAGACUCCUACGGGAGGCAGCAGUGGGGAAUAUUGGACAAUGGGGGCAACCCUUGAUCCAGCAAUACCGCGUGUGUGAAGAAGGCCCCGAGGGUUGUAAAAGCACUUUNAGUAGGGAAGGAAAUGCCUGGGGUUAAAUAGCCUCGGGUCUUGACGUAACCUACAGAAGAAGCACCGGCUAACUCCGUGCCAGCAGCCGCGGUAUACGGAGGGUGCAAGCGUUAAUCGGAAUUACUGGGCGUAAAGCGUACCCAGGCUGUCAAGUCAGUCANAUGUGAAAGCCCCGGGCUUAACCUGGGAACUGCA